rnacentral:tRNA from 1 species
GCCGGCUUGGCUUAGGGGCUAAAGCAUCGCACUUGUAUGACCCGUUGGGAUGCACGAGAUGCGGGGAUCACUGGUUCGAUUCCAGUAGUCGGCA